rnacentral:rRNA from 1 species
UACGUAGGGACCGAGCGUUGUCCGGAAUCAUUGGGCGUAAAGCGCGUGUAGGCGGCCACUUAAGUCCUGCGUGAAAUCUUGCGGCUCAACCGCAAGCGGUCGUGGGAAACUGGGUGGCUAGAGUGCGGGAGAGGAGAGUGGAAUUCCUGGUGUAGCGGUGGAAUGCGCAGAUAUCAGGAAGAACACCCGUGGCGAAGGCGGCUCUCUGGAACGCAACUGACGCUGAUGAGCGAAAGCCAGGGGAGCAAACGGG